rnacentral:rRNA from 1 species
UACAGAGGGUGCAAGCGUUGUUCGGAUUCACUGGGCUUAAAGGGCGCGUAGGCGGGUGAUCAAGUCCGGGGUGAAAUACUCCAGCUUAACUGGAGAAUAGCCCUGGAUACUGGUCGUCUUGAGGGAGGUAGGGGCAUGUGGAACUUCCGGUGGAGCGGUGAAAUGCGUAGAUAUCGGAAGGAACGCCGGUGGCGAAAGCGAUGUGCUGGACCUCUUCUGACGCUGAGGCGCGAAAGCCAGGGGAGCAAACGGG